CAGCAGCCGCGGUAAUACGUAGGGGGCAAGCGUUGUCCGGAAUCAUUGGGCGUAAAGAGCGUGUAGGCGGCUCGGUAAGUCCGCUGUGAAAGUCCAGGGCUCAACCCUGGAAUGCCGGUGGAAACUGUCGAGCUAGAGUCCGGAAGAGGCGAGUGGAAUUCCUGGUGUAGCGGUGAAAUGCGCAGAUAUCAGGAGGAACACCAAUGGCGAAGGCAGCUCGCUGGGACGGUACUGACGCUGAGACGCGAAAGCGUGGGGAGCAAACAGGAUUAGAUACCCUGGUAGUCCACGCCGUAAACGA
rnacentral:rRNA from 1 species